GCCUGGGUGGCUUAGUCGGUUAAGUGUCUGACUUCAGCUGAGGUCAUGAUCUUGCGGUUCAUGGGUUUGAGCCCCAUAUCAGGCU
rnacentral:tRNA from 1 species